rnacentral:miRNA from 5 species
CUAUACAGUCUAUUGCCUUCCU